rnacentral:rRNA from 1 species
UACGUAGGGUGCGAGCGUUAAUCGGAAUUACUGGGCGUAAAGCGCGCGUAGGUGGUUCGUUGUGUCUGUGGUGAAAGCCCCGGGCUUAACCUGGGAAUGGCCAUGGAAACUGGCGAGCUGGAGUGUGGCAGAGGGGGGUGGAAUUCCGCGUGUAGCAGUGAAAUGCGUAGAGAUGCGGAGGAACACCGAUGGCGAAGGCAGCCCCCUGGGCUAACACUGACGCUGAGGCACGAAAGCGUGGGGAGCAAACAGG